UCUUAAAUCUGAUCAAAAGUUUCAAGGUUUGUUUUGGAAAUGCAUGUCAGGCUGUGAUUCAAAAGAAGAGUUUGAAAGCACUUGGAGUUAUAUGAUUAAUGAGUACAAGCUUCAAAAUCACAAGUGGUUGAAAAGCAUGUAUAAAAUUCGCCAUAAAUGGAGCACUGCAUAUAGCAAGGAUGUGUUCUCUGCUGAUAUCAAGUCAUCUCAAAGAAGUGAGAGUACAAAUAGUGUUUUAAGUGCGAUUGCCGGAGCAACAACCAGUCUCAGUCAUUUCUUAUUAGCAUUUGAAAAAAUGGUAAACAAGUGGCGACAAUUAGAGACUGAAAAGGAAUUCAAAAAUAGCCAAAGUAUGCCUCCCCGCAUCAUUAAUAUCAGUGAGACUUUGAGACAAGCAUCUAUGAUAUACACUCACAAGACUUUCAAACUUUUUUUGAAUGAGUAUCUUGCUGGAACGGGUGGAAGUACUUCUAAAGACAUUGGAGAAUCUGAUAAUUUGUCAUAUCAUGAAGUGAGUUCAAAUCAUAUGCCUAAUAAGAAACAUAUGGUAGUAUUUGACUCCUCUGCUGCAAAGAUCAGUUGUAGUUGUCGAAAGUUUGAUUCAAUGGGCAUUCUUUGUAGUCAUGCUUUGCGAAUUUACAACAUCAAAGGUAUAUUAAAAAUACCUGACCAAUACUUUCUGAGAAGAUGGUCAAAAAAAGCAAGGGCUGUGAUUUAUGAUCACAUAGAUGAGAGUUCAAAAGAAAAUUCUAUCUCAGAAAAUGCAAUGAACAAUGGUGGUGAUUCCAUGAUCCUUUAUCGCAAUGCUAUUAUGAAGUUUUUUUAUAAUCUAGUUUUGGAUAGCCAGGAACACAAAGAAACUCAACAAAUCAUGUGGAAAUUGGUUUAUGGUGGAGUUAAGAGUGUGCACCAAUGCAUCAAUGAGCUCAGUUUGAUUUCAAAAGCAACAACUAGUGAGAAAAAAUUCACUCAAAAUGAGGAUAGUGAUCACAUUGCAAUUUAUAAUCCUCGCCGCGCAAAAACUAAAGGAAUGUCUAAUACUCGCAUGAAAGGGCAUUUUGAAAAAAGAAAAGGAUCAACAACAAAAGAAAAGCAACAUAAAAGUGAGUUUCUUGAUUAUUUUUUAAGUAUACUUUCAUCAUUUAUUGAACAUGUUUAAUAUUUUGUUCUGUUAAUAUUUUUUAUCACAGAGAAAAAAAAAAAAGAUAGCUUUUGUUCCAUUAGUUCUUCCAUGGAUGGGCCUUCUAAUAUUCUCAAUAACAUGGACAACACUUCUAAUGUUCCUUCUACUUCUUUUGGUGCACCUUUAGAGGGUUAUAAUUCCUCAAGUUGGGGUUUAAAUACUCCAUCCAUUCCAUUUACUAAGAUGUUACAAGGAAUUGGCACAUGUAACUCAUUGAUUCAGGAAUCUCCAAGUGGUGCUUUCCAAGAUAGCCAAGAACAUAAAAGAAGUUAGAGAGAAGUUGAAAUGGGCUACUGGUUUUUUGUAUGCAAUAGAAGAUUAUAGCCUAAUUUUGGUUUUAGUUAUGCAAUACUUCUGGUUUAAGAGAUG